rnacentral:rRNA from 1 species
CGCCUCUUGACUCAAGAUAAGAGGUCCAGCCUGCCCAGUGACUAAAUUAAACGGCUGCGGUACUCUGACCGCACAAAGGUAGCGUAAUCACUUGUUCCAUAAAUAGGGACUUGUAUCAACGGCAUCACGAGGGCUGUACUGUCUCCUUUCUCCAAUCAGUGAAACUGAUCUUCCCGUGAAGAAGCGGGAAUUAACUAAUAAGACGAGAAGACCCCAUGGAGCUUUAAACUCACUAUGCACCUCUGCCCACCUACAUCAUUUUAGCCCAUGAGAACUGCAUUAUAGCUUUAGGUUGGGGCGACCACGGAGUAAAAAUUAACCUCCACGACGAAAGGGCUAAGCCCUUAUCUAAGAGCAACAACUCUAAGAAUUAAUAAACUAAUGUUUAAUGACCCGAAUUUCGAUCAACGAACCAAGUUACCCUGGGGAUAACAGCGCAAUCUACUUCGAGAGCCCAUAUCAACAAGUAGGUUUACGACCUCGAUGUUGGAUCAGGGUAUCCCAGUGGUGCAGCCACUACUAAAGGUUCGUUUGUUCAACGAUUAAAACCCU